UACGGAGGGUGCAAGCGUUGUCCGGAUUUAUUGGGUUUUAAAGGGUGCGUAGGCGGCUUUUUUAAGUCAGUGGUGAAAUACAGCAGCUCAACUGUUGAGGUGCCAUUGAUACUGAAGAGCUUGAGUACAGAUGAGGUAGGCGGAAUUUAUGGUGUAGCGGUGAAAUGCAUAGAUACCAUAAAGAACACCGAUUGCGAAGGCAGCUUACUAAGCUGUAACUGACGCUGAGGCACGAAAGCGUGGGGAGCGAACAGG
rnacentral:rRNA from 1 species